AGUAGUUUGAUCAUGGCUCGAGGACGAACGCUGGCGGCGUGCCUAACACAUGCAAGUCGAACGGGGGUUUUGCUUCGGUAGAACCCUAGUGGCGAACGGGUGAGUAACGCGUAGGCAACCUGCCCUUCAGACGGGGACAACAUCCCGAAAGGGGUGCUAAUACCGGAUACGAAGGAACCAUCGCAUGGUGGCUCCUUGAAAGAUGGCCUCUAUUUAUAAGCUAUCGCUGAAGGAUGGGCCUGCGUCCGAUUAGCUGGUUGGUGGGGUAACGGCCUACCAAGGCGACGAUCGGUAGCCGGUCUGAGAGGAUGAACGGCCACAUUGGGACUGAGACACGGCCCAGACUCC
rnacentral:rRNA from 1 species